rnacentral:rRNA from 1 species
GACGAACGCUGGCGGCGUGCUUAACACAUGCAAGUCGAACGGUAAGGCCCUUCGGGGUACACGAGUGGCGAACGGGUGAGUAACACGUGGGUGAUCUGCCCUGCACUUCGGGAUAAGCCUGGGAAACUGGGUCUAAUACCGGAUAGGACCCUGGGAUGCAUGUCCUGGGGUGGAAAGCUUUUGCGGUGUGGGAUGGGCCCGCGGCCUAUCAGCUUGUUGGUGGGGUGAUGGCCUACCAAGGCGACGACGGGUAGCCGGCCUGAGAGGGUGACCGGCCAAACUGGGACUGAGAUACGGCCCAGCCUCCUACGGGAGUCAGCAGUGGGGAAUAUUGCACAAUGGGCGCAAGCCUGAUGCAGCGACGCCGCGUGAGGGAUGACGGCCUUCGGGUUGUAAACCUCUUUCAGCACCGACGAAGCGCAAGUGACGGUAGGUGCAGAAGAAGGACCGGCCAACUACGUGCCAGCCGCCGCCGUAA